CAGGAAGUUGGCCGGCGUCCCUCCGUGGAGCUUUAUGAUGUCCAUCGUGGCCAUGGCCAGACCGGCGCCGUUCACUGAGGGGGAGGGGGGGAAUGGUGUGUGUGAGCAACAGCACAAAGGAGGUGAAGCUCAGAAAGCUGAGCCGGCCGGACCCUUAGCGAGGGAGCACGGUACCGAGACAGCCUAUGUUCCCGUCGAGGCCGAUGUAGUUGAUAUCCGCCUUCGCCGCGGCUCUGUCCCUCUCGUCUUCCUGGGUCCAGUCCUGGAGAGCAAAGAUUUCCUUCUGGCGGUAAGCGGAAUUAGAAUCAAAGUUGAUCUUUGCAUCCAUGCAGAGCACUUCAAGG